CAGCAGUUCUUUCUCGAUUCCGUGGGUGGUGGUGCAUGGCCGUUCUUAGUUGGUGGAGCGAUUUGUCUGGUUAAUUCCGAUAACGAACGAGACUCUGGCAUGCUAACUAGUUACGCGACCCCCGAGCGGUCGGCGUCCCCCAACUUCUUAGAGGGACAAGUGGCGUUCAGCCACCCGAGAUUGAGCAAUAACAGGUCUGUGAUGCCCUUAGAUGUCCGGGGCUGCACGCGCGCUACACUGACUGGCUCAGCGUGUGCCUACCCUACGCCGGCAGGCGCGGGUAACCCGUUGAACCCCAUUCGUGAUGGGGAUCGGGGAUUGCAAUUAUUCCCCAUGAACGAGGAAUUCCCAGUAAGUGCGGGUCAUAAGCUUGCGUUGAUUAAGUCCCUG
rnacentral:rRNA from 1 species